rnacentral:lncRNA from 1 species
AAUUUUUCUUAAUAUGAAAGUGAUGGUGAAACUGUCUGUAUUAACAGAGUCUGUAUGUUGUUUGAACAGAGAUAACUGAUCGGUUCGCAGACUGCAGCUUAACUGCGUACUUAUUACAAACAUUAUAUCCACUCUUACUUUCAGUUUCAUCACACUGCUUUGUAUGACUAUCCUGCCACAUGUGUUUACAGUCUAAUAGUGCACUCCACUGUCCAUCAUACAUCCAUUAGCCUAGUUUAGCAUAGCAUGACUGGAAACAGCCUUACUCUGGCUACCAAGCUCAUAGAUUAUGUGGCAGGUUGUACACUGGAUGCGGUAGCCUGGGCGUAGCAUCGUGUGGCUGCAGGGGUUAGUUAUGAUCACUAAGUAUGACUCAGAAAGAAAGUAAAUAAACUUAUUUCUGGUAAGUGUUUAACACCAUUCCUUUAAUGCAGAAUAAUUAUUUGACUGUCACACUUCCUGUUCUUUCUCCUGGUUUUACUUUGCCUUUGGAUGUGGUCAUUUGAGCAGCCAGACGUGCUCAGUGGACUGGAUAUCCUUCUGUCACUGUCACUGUUUGUAAUUUUAGCCUUCCUUUAGCAUUCCUGCCUCAGCUUUCACUUGAAACACUCCCGAGCGGCUUGUGUGUUGUGCACUGAGACGACUGUAACAAGUGAUUGCUGCCAGGUCAAACUGUUUAACUCACUUUCAUGUGAGGCUGGAUCUGGAAGAAGAGAGAGGAGGUUAAACAAACAGAAAGCUCAUUAAAAUAAACCUCACUCAACUCCCACUCCUUUUUUUCCCCUCUCAGAGAUACAGGAAUGUGCUGUCGUGCUUCACGUCCCACACAGAGCUGUCUGCAGGACUUCAGCUUUCUUCUGAUCGAAACCGGCAACCCUCCUCCACCCCAAGCACCACCAGAUCCAUGCCAGUUAAGGCCUCCUAUCUCCUGCCCUCCAGCUCUCCACCACCACCAGGUCUAGACCCCGGGGGGAUCUUCUGAUCCAGCGGCCUCUCCUCUUGCGUUUUCCCCCCUUUUCGGAUGUGGUCUUCACGACGGGGUCUAGGACGCCAAUGCACAUUCAAACUUUGUACUUAAUAAAUAUUUCUCAUUCAGUUCG